GAUGUUAGCGGCGGACGGGUGAGUAACACGUGGGUAACCUGCCUGUAAGACUGGGAUAACUCCGGGAAACCGGAGCUAAUACCGGAUAGUUCCUUGAACCGCAUGGUUCAAGGAUGAAAGACGGUUUCGGCUGUCACUUACAGAUGGACCCGCGGCGCAUUAGCUAGUUGGUGAGGUAACGGCUCACCAAGGCGACGAUGCGUAGCCGACCUGAGAGGGUGAUCGGCCACACUGGGACUGAGACACGGCCCAGACUCCUACGGGAGGCAGCAGUAGGGAAUCUUCCGCAAUGGACGAAAGUCUGACGGAGCAACGCCGCGUGAGUGAUGAAGGUUUUCGGAUCGUAAAGCUCUGUUGUUAGGGAAGAACAAGUGCAAGAGUAACUGCUUGCACCUUGACGGUACCUAACCAGAAAGCCACGGCUAACUACGUGCCAGCAGCCGCGGUAAUACGUAGGUGGCAAGCGUUGUCCGGAAUUAUUGGGCGUAAAGGGCUCGCAGGCGGUUUCUUAAGUCUGAUGUGAAAGCCCCCGGCUCAACCGGGGAGGGUCAUUGGAAACUGGGAAACUUGAGUGCAGAAGAGGAGAGUGGAAUUCCACGUGUAGCGGUGAAAUGCGUAGAGAUGUGGAGGAACACCAGUGGCGAAGGCGACUCUCUGGUCUGUAACUGACGCUGAGGAGCGAAAGCGUGGGGAGCGAACAGGAUUAGAUACCCUGGUAGUCCACGCC
rnacentral:rRNA from 1 species